UUAAAUACGGGGAUCCUCCUUUCCCGCAUCCUGGAUUUAGGAACCCGUGGUUCCUCCCUGACCCGGAUCAAAACCCUCAUGGAUAUCCCCGGAAAAACAGGUGUCUUAUUUUCCUACCUCUUGGCGGAGAAUACCUAUCCGAAAGGAUAGUUAAUACUGCAUAAGAUCCAAGGAUGAAAGGGCAUAACUGCCCACCGAGAGAGGAGCCUAUCCACCAUCAGUUUGUUGGUAGGGUAAUGGCCUACCAAGACUACGACGGUUAGGAGAUGUGAGAGCAUGUUCUCCCAGAAUGGGACUGAGACACGGCCCAUACGCCUACGGGUGGCAGCAACAGGGAAUUGUGCACAAUGGACGAAAGUCUGAUGCCGCGACGCCGCGUGAAGGAUGAAGGCCUUAGGGUUGUAAACUUCUUUUGCCACAUGCGAGAGCAUGUGGAGAAUAAGUGCCCGCUAACCUCGUGCCAGCAGCUGCGGUGAUACGAGGGGCACAAGCGUUGUCCGGAUUUACUGGGCGUAAAGUGUUUCGUAGGCGUCUUUCUAAGUUAUUCUUCAAAUACCAAGGCUCAACCUCGGGAAGGGGAAUAAUACUGGAAGGAUUGAAAUCUUUCGGGGCUACUGGAACUAUUGGUGUAGGGGU
rnacentral:ncRNA from 1 species